UACAGAGGGUGCAAGCGUUAAUCGGAAUUACUGGGCGUAAAGCGUGCGCAGACGGUUGCGUAAGUCAGAUGUGAAAUCCCCGGGCUCAACCUGGGAAUGGCAUUUGGGACUGCAAGGCUGGAGUACGGCAGAGGAGACGUGGAAUUCCUGGUGUAGCAGUGAAAUGCGUAGAGAUCAGGAGGAAUACCGAUGGCGGAAGGCCAGGUCGUCUGGGCUGAUACUGACGCUCAUGCACGAAGCGUGG
rnacentral:rRNA from 1 species